rnacentral:lncRNA from 1 species
UACGGGCGACCUGACAGACCACAAGAAUCUGUAGCCGCUCUGCUCGAGUGCAACUGGUCUGGCUCAAAACUACCCAGGCUUCCGAAACAGAGAAAUACAACUGACAAUGGAGGCUGAUCAUCUAGCCAUUUCAUUAUCCUUUCGCGGUCUGACCUCUGCUUUUGGCCUUCCAGCUCGGGCAAGGGUGGUCCAACUGUAUAAUUUGAUGGUGUGACCUUAACUAACUUUUCUUUUUAGUUAAAAUAUAUUUUAUUAGCCUUAUAGUUCUUUUAAUUAGUCGUAACUGUGAUGUAUCACUUGUAUCACCUAACUAUUUACACUUUACUUUAGUCCUUUCAAUCCUAGUAAGGUUUAUAUAAUAUUGAAUCCUUUGUCUAUUUUUAAAGACGUCCUCUCUUUUUUUUUAUUUAUAAACCUCCCAUCCCUCUCUAUAUCCUUCUCAUCUCCAAUUGCUAAGGACAAAAUUGGAAUUUGGAACCUAACGACAAAGAAAUUCUAAUAGCCUUCCUCUGUCAAAAAAAACAUAUAAAAGCUUCGAAACCCUAAUUUCAAUCUAAGUAAAAUUUCACGUGCAGAAUUAUUACGUGUGACAAUUUUCAAAAUUCUAUGGGGACAAAAUAGUAACAAAUGGGGACAUGAACUUCCAAAAUCAAUUUUUGAUCUCGAUCUACAAAGCCCGCCUUAUUAACCCAAAUAAGGAUUUGGGCUCCAACCCAUCAUCAUCCUUGUCCUUAUCCAGCCCCAACGGCCCAACUCCUCAAGAAUUUCUGAGAUCUUUUUGGUCAUAUCUUGGCUUCGAACUAAAGCAUCAAACCCUAGACACCUCACACAAAAGAUAUUUUCAGGGAGAAACCAAAACAGGGAAAAUAAAAGGAAAAAAAAACUGAGAUUUAUUUUUUAAGGAUAAAAAAGAAAAUAUAUCUCCAAUUUUAUGGCACUUUUUUCUUGAACUCGACACCGAAAAAAUCCCAAGCCCUAUAUUACCCUGAAAUACAGGUUCGUCUCUCAAAUUUCUUUUUCUUUUUCUUUCUGAAAAGAUUUAUUAAGGGGAAAAAAAUCGCCGAAACCCUAGAUUGAAGAAUUGUGUAUUUUGAUUUUCGGUUUGAAUUUAGGUGGUGACUGAAAUGGAACCACGAUCUUCUCCGCAAGAGAGAGUGGAUUCUGCGACGGCGACGUUUCGCAAGCCGUCUACUGAUGCUGGCAAUAGGAUAUACCGGCGCCGCUCACCGGUCGGUGGAUCCUCUGCAUCCGAGGGUAAGUCUUACCUACUAUUGUUCUAUUUUUUUUUUUUUUUGGUUUUUUGUAGUUUUUGCGUUUAUGGAAUUUUGCACCUUUGGUUUUAUUUGAAUGCGUGGGUUUUUUUUUUUGGAUGGUCUCAUGAGUUGCAGAAAUGUUAGCAAUAUCUUGAGUGAUGAAGGUUUGGUAGAUUUUUUGGUAUAUGUCAUUAGUUUCAAAUGUUGGGGGAACUUCGAAAUUUGUAAAGUUGGUGAAGUGCAUAGUUAUUUGUGUGUUUUUGUUUGCUGAGUUGAUUACCUUUCUUUUGUUGUAUGAUGGAGGGAUGGGGGCGGGGGUUGUUUGAUUUGCUGGUGUCAGAAGUAUUUUUAGUUAUCUGUCUUUUGGCGGCUGUUGGCGAUUCUCUGGUGUGUAUUUGUUAGGUUUUGCGGAUGUUUAAGGUCAAACUUGUGAUUCCAUAGAGUUUGAGUUCUAGUGAUAAGUUUCAUAGCAAGUGCUUGAAGCUCGUCAAUUCCUGGUGUCAUGCCUUUAUGUUGUAUCUUAUGCCCAUUUGUUACUUGAAAAUAAUUUGUAUUGCCUGCCUGUUGUAUUGUUCUUUGUCAAUUGAAGAAAUGGCCAAGAUGCCUGUUGAUUAGGUAGCUUUGGUGGACUGCAAAGGUUUCAACCAUCUUGGAUGCCUUUUUGGCAUUCUUUUGUUGUGCCAAGUUCUAAAUUUGAAUAGAAACUUCGCACAUAUAUAAUGCAGAAUGCAUCUUUUUAACACGUUCCUCAUCAAUCUCUUCUAAAAUAUUUUCCUUCUUUUUGACAACUUGAAUUGGGGGAUGAACUCGUAAAAGGGGAAGUGUGUUUGACGUGCAAAGUUUAGCAAAGAGAGAACAAAGAGAAGAGAAGUGAAGUGGACGGGGGCCUUAGAGAUGGGGAAGAAGAGAAGGGAGAUUAAAUUGUUAGAAUCUGAGAAGUGGAUUCAAUUAAUGGCUUCCUCUGUUCAAUGCUUUGUUUGCAGAGGAAUUUCCAGACUAGUUAGACUGAAUUACAUGCUCAAAGUCUGUGUAUAAACAUAGUGGAAAACACACCCUUUCCACAACCCAAAUCUUAGGCUAUGAGUUCUAAGAGGAGAAGAACUGGAGAAGAGAAACCAGAAAAGUCAAAGUUAGUUUGUUGUUUCUUUCAUAGUUGUAGAGAUGUUAGUCCUUUUUUUUUUUCCAGAAAUUGUGGGUUGGUGGGGUGGUGGACCCUUUAUUCCCUCUAUGUUAUUGGAAAAAAAAAAAGAGAAGUCGGGUUGGCGGGUAUAUCGGGUUGGCCAUCAUUGGCGCCCAUCAGUUUUCCUCUUCUCUUAGAUAUGUGUAGGAUUUGGUUUGUGAAAAGGGUCUAUUUUCCACUACAAUAUAUGUGGUCUUGGGCACGUAAUUCUGUCUAGCCAAUCCGAUAGAUUCAGCAGCGAAGCUUUGGAUGGAGGUAAAUAGUUCAAUUCUUGUAUUCUAACAGUGGUAAGGAUUCAAAGUCUGUGUAGAAUACAGAGAGAAGUGAUUUUGUAAAUCAGAGGAGUGGUAUAAUGUGCUAAAACCAGUAACAUUAAGAUAAGAUGAAUUUCACCACUUGACAGUCAAAGAAAAGUCAACUGCAGAAGCUAGAAGUCGACAAAAGAUACAGUGGAAAGUAGUACGCAGCUCAAACUCCUUGCGCCAAAACCCCAAGCCAUGUACUUUAUCGCUAGGCGCAUGCAUACCCAGCUAGGUGCAGCAGGUUGUGGCUCAUGGUGGCUUGAGGUUAGGUGCAUGCCUUAGGUGUCUUUAUCAACUAUGAGAAAGAACUGAAUGGGAAGAAAUCAAUGUUCAAGGCAUGAAUGCAAAAGGGUCAGUACUUGUAAAACUGUUUGCUCCAACUGCUCUUCUUUAAUCAGGAGGAAAGUUUUAUUGUAACAUGAUCGGGCUAAAAGGACAACCACUUGAAGGAUGGUUCUUUUGGGUUUCCCAAUUUUUAGUGAUUUCAUCUGGGUCCAUUAAGAUUUUAAAUUUGAUAAGAGAAUAUUAAAACCGGAUUGGUAUUGGAUAUUGUAAGAGUAUUUUGUGGAUCUGUGGUUGUUAGUCCUGUUAAUUGUUAAAAGUAUUGCAGUGGCCACUUGCUGCCAUUGUCAGCAGUGUUAUCCUUGAAUGCUCACUAGGUUUGGCUUGGUAUGAUGUGAUAAGGUUAAUAGAUUUAUUGUUAUACUUUUCUCACUUUGAACUUAAAAUGCAAAAUUUUCAUAUUUUCUUUUGGAAUUCUGCUGUUGAGGGAUGUCUUCUAUAAUACGUUGUCCUGAAAUUAGAAGUUCACUUGUACAGAAAGAUAUGGUUAACUGCUGCUCUAUACCACUUUGCUUUGGAUGGGCAUGAAUUUCAUUGCUUUCAGGUGGCUUGGGGAGGAUGCAAAUGUCUAGGAAGUCCUGUGCCUCAAAUCAUCCUAUGCUGUAACAAAAACACCAACCAGAAUCAAGUUAAACUGAAUUUUAGGGUCAAAAUUCAUAGAUAAUUUUCUAAAACUUUUUUUUAAUGUAAAACAGACUGCAUGAGUAGUGAAUUAUGUUAGUUAUACUAAUCUUUUGUUAUAUGUUUAGCUCAGCAGCUAUUUAAGAAUGGUGCUAGCAUUUUGUGUUGUAUGCUUGUGUUUUAUUUACUGUUUUUUUAGUUAAGAUUUACAAUCCUUUUUGCACCUCAGGUAUGUUGAUUUUGCACUUAAUAUGUGCUGUCUUUUUUCCUCCCUUUUGAAUCAAGUUGGCCUUUUAGCAUCACAGAAUUCACAAGUGUGGCAUAAUUGUCUACUGCCAUGAUUUUGGGUAUUAUAUAUAGCUUCUAAUCGUAGGGAUAUGCCAUUUGGUGUAUAUCAUUGUUCCUGAAGUUGAUGCUUGAUAUUGCUGUUUGAAGCAAAAUUUUGAGGUGGUAACUGGAGCUGUAGAUUGAUGAACAUGCAGCUAUUGCUACAGAUUAUCCUUAUUGUAUUGUUCAAUAUCCCACAUAAUGGAAAUAUGUCCUUGCACCUGUACUUUAAAUGAUCUAUUAUUAGUGAAGGCUUUCCAAUUUAUUUGUCUAUACUGUAAGCACAUUUGUGGUUCCCUAGUUUGUCAAAACCAUGUAGCUGAUGAGUGUUGCUGAUAUUCUUGCUAGAAUUAAAGAUAAAACUGAAUGAAAUCCUCCUAUAACUCGUUCCCUUAAUGGAUUCGGACAGCCCCAGGUUGUCUGAUAUCCCCAUAAACGAAUUUAAUAGUUGUUGGAAUAAAAGAUUUCUGGUCCACUUUUAACUUAAGAAAUUGAUUUUGAGCUGAAUGGUAUUACAUGAGCAUUGAGUUUUGGGUAAGUGACAGCAUUUUUGAGACGGACCACAAUAGGAAGUAUUCAACUGUCAAUUGGACUGAGGUAAUAUACUUCAGGAAGGUAAGGUCCUCCUUUGGGAGUCUGAUGUGUUAGUUGAAUUAUGGCAGAUUAGAUGCCAAAUCCACUCUAGUCUACUGAAGUGACUAAGGUCCUCUAUGGGGCCAUCUCAAUUUAGGUCCUUUAGGAUUCAAGAUCCAGAUUUUUUUUUACAUAUAAUUCUUUCAAUAGUAACAUCAUCAACUAGUUACUGCUUGCUGUAAUCGGAUCAAAGUUAUUUUAAGAAAUAUGAUGCGGGCAAAGAAAAUAAACAAUUGAUUGUUCAGCAAUUUAGACUGUUCCUUUUGUAUAUAGCUGAUAGGACUAUAAUGGGCUUAGCGGAAUAAGCUGUUCUGGGGCUAAACUAAAAUUUAAAAGCAGCAAACAAUAUAUAUCUUUAAAAGGCCAAAAAUUGAAUUAAUAAAUUUAAUGUUAUAGGUCAAUAUAGAUCAUUUAGUAUAGAAUUAUAUAUGUCUAACGAAGUCUGGGCAUCAGUAAUCUUAAGGCCUAUUACACAACCUUAGUUGCUAUUUGAGAAAUUUCCAAAAUGUACCAAAAUUUGAUGGUAUUGGAGUUGGGCACAUAAUCUGCUUGUAUUCCCACAAGUUGUGAAUCUUACUGCCACAUUGCCAUUGCAUGCCACAGAGAAGUCGUUGUGCUGGUUGGUGAUUGCAUGAGUGGAAGUUCUUUGAUUGUUUAUGACCACUUUUCUCAUGUAUGGAACUUCUUUUGCAAUGUUAUUAUUGACAUUUUUGUGGUUUGACUGUGUCUUGUGGCUUUAAGGUCCUGUUCUUUGUUCCUAUAUUUGAUAAAAUCACUAGUGUCACUUCUGUAAGCUAUGGUGUACACUACUCCUGCAUACUGUUGGAUAUCACAAUCAAGUUAAGUUGAUGGCUUUACAGGUACUUUAGAUAUCUUACCUUUUUGGGCAGUAGGCAGUGAUCUGAUUAAGUAGGGAACUACAAGCUGUGUUUCAUGGGCAUGUUGAUAGGAAUCCAACACAUCCCCACCCUUCUUUUAUUGUCUCCAACGAUGCAUACCAGUUGGUAUUCUGGAAGCAAAAAACUGCUUCUGGUUUUGCUACCUUUUUUGUUUUUUCCAUUCAAACACGUAGUCAUUCUCUUGGCACUAAGUUAUGCUGCUUUUAUUUGUGUCUGCAGGAAGUCCGACUCAUGAACGCAACUCUACCCCAAUCCAAAUGAGUAAAGAUAGUGAAAGAGGUGCUGAUGAACGGCGAAGGAAGGAUGAAGGGAGAGACACUGAAAGGCAUUCUGGACGGAGCCAUUAUGGCAGGAGUGGUGACUCCUAUAGUCAUUCUGAUCGACGGUCUUCACGGAGUUCUCGUGGUUAUCAUAGGCAUGAUGAUUAUCACAGACGUGAUAAGUACGUGGAUGGUGAUGAUAGAGAUUAUUCUCGGUCUGCUCGUUCUGGUAGAGACUCAAGAAGUAACACUUAUUCUGAUUACUCUAGGAGGGAAGGUGAGCAUCGCUCAAGAGACCAUGCACGUGAUGAUGACAGAUAUUCAGGAGAUAAGCUGGAUGGUUUGGGGGAUCGCAGCAGAGGUAAGGAGAGAGAAAAAGAUUCAUCUUUUGAAUAUGAAAGGCAUAGAGAAAAAAUUUCAUCUUCUGAUAGAGCUGGAUCUGGUAGGAGGCGCUCUAACAAUGAUGAUAUUAAGCAUGGGGAAAGGGAUAGAUGUACUGAUGAUAAAGUUAGUACAGAUGAGAAGCUUGACCAUCAAAGGAGUUCAGGGGAUUACAGGAGUGAUCGUGGACCGUCUUAUGAAGAAUCUAGGACCUAUAAGAAUGACUCAUCUUCUAGAAGGGAUAGCUCUGGACAUCGUCUGAGAGAAGCUAGCCGGGGUGAUGUUAAAUCAUUGGACAGUGAAAAGUAUGCCAGAGAAGAAAAGAACUAUGACGAUAGAGAAAGGUAUAAGGAACGUCACCAGAAGGAAUCAGGGGACAAAUCUGAAGAUGGAAAUGGUCAUUUUGGCAAAGAUCAAGAAUCCUCAGCCAAGAAGCAAAAGUUAAUUAACAUGGAUGAAAGCAAUAGUAAUGGUAUUUACUAUAGGCUUCACCUCGAUAUGCAAUUUGUUCCCUUGUCAUGUUUACUCUUUUCUCAUGCUACCUCUCUUAACUGUCUACUCAUGCUGCACUUUUUGCUUAUCCAGUAGCUGAAGCCGAUGAAAAGAACUCUUCUAGUUUGAAGCAAGCUCAAGAGUUUACUGGUACAGGGUCUGCUGAGCAGGCUUGUCUGACAGAUUCUGAUAUAGAUGCUGCAAAAGUUGCUGCAAUGAAGGCUGCUGAACUUGGUAUGCUGUUAUUUUAGCUGUUAUCUGUAUUUUGCAUUGUGUAGCUAUUGUUCAUUCAAAGGCAAAUAUGCAUGUAGGUUUUGUGUGAUGUGGUGAAGUGAUUAUUAUGGUUGAAGACAUUGUAGUAUAAUCUUGUAGAUGGUAAUUGCAUAUCGGUGUGUGGUAGAUUAUCAUUCCUAGAAAUUGCCAGCCAAUCUAAUAUGUAUGCCAGUCUCAGUAAAACUGUCUCUCUUGCUAUUUUGAGAUCACAAAAACAAUGUCACUUUCCAAACAUUUCGAGGUCUAUCAAUUUGCUUUUCAAUCCUAUCCCUAAUAAAGAAUUCAAUGAUUCAAAUUGUCUCCAUUCUCACCACAAAAUAAUUAUGCAAGGUCAAGGUUGGAAAGUGGAAAAGAAUCUUUAAAUUCCUAUAACUGUGUGACCUACUAAAUGGACAAGUAAUGGAUAUGGCUUUACUUCUUUUAUUGUGUUUCGAAUAUAUAUGUGCCUAAUUGAUAUUUUUUUGUGGUGGUGUUGAAAUUACGCAACUUCACUGCUGAUUUUUUGUACUAGAAUAAAUGAAUUAGUAAUUGAAUUAGGAGCAGUUCCACAUUUGGUGUCUUAUGACUAGUUCAAGUGUUUUGAAUUAUAAUUUUCUUUUGUUGAGAUUUGUUAGCAAAGAUUAUGUUAGUUUGUUUCUUGUAUGCUCCACAAAUAUAGAGCUCAUGAAUGAAGAAUUUAAGGUGUUCUCAAGUUCUUCAAUACAAGACUUCAUAAUAAGUCAUUUUUUUGCAGCACUAACUACUAGUGUUGUUUCUUAUUAUGAAGUCUUGUAUUGAAGAACUUGAGAACACCUUAAAUUCUUCAUUCAUGAGCUCUCUAUUUGUGGAGCAUACAAGAAACAAACUAUACUUCAUAAUAAGAAACAACACUAGUAGUUAGUGCUGCAAAAAAAUGACUUAUUAUGAAGUCUUGUAUUGAAGAACUUGAGAACACCUUAAAUUCUUCAUUCAUGAGCUCUCUAUUUGUGGAGCAUACAAGAAACAAACAAACAUAUUUCUUUGCUAACAAAUCUGAGCAACAGAUACUUGUAAUUCAAAACACUUGAACUAGUCAAAAGAUACCAAAUGUGGAACUACUCCUAACUACUAGAUUUAUUCAUUAUUCUAGUACCAAAAGGAAUCUAGAAAAAUCUGUGAAGAAGUUGUCAUAUCUCAACAGGUGCUGACUACAAAGUCACUUUCCAAAAAAGUCGAGUUUAUUGGCAUGCAUUCCACUUUUGCCCCUAAUGAACAAUUCGAAUUGUCUCAUUAUUACCAAGCGCAAUGAUGAUGUGAUGACAAAAUUGGAAAGUGGAAAAGAAUUUAUGAAUAUGUGUUGCUGACAAAUGAUGGAUAUGGUUUUUCUUGUUUCAUUUUGUUGUUAAAUGCAGGAUUUGUCUAUUUGAUGGUUUUUGGUGUUGCUGACUGUGGAAGUAUAAGUUUUAAUUUAUUACUCCAGAUUAAUUAGUUCUGCAUCAUUUGAUGUCUUUUAUUUUUUAUGCCUUGCACUAGAUGCUGCAUCUGUUAUUUUUAGUUCCUCCAAAUCAACUUCUUGAGGAAGUACCAACUUUAAACUGCUAGGAUAAAUUCAAAGGAUUGGUCUCUUGUUGCUUGUUAUGGCUGAUUCUAUUUUCUCUUUCUAAGUAGAUUCUUUGUUUCACGUUGAAGCAUGGCUAUGGAUGAAAUUUUUUUCCUUCUGGUCAAGCUUGAAGAUUUCAUGUAUGCACUUCUGUGCAUAAAUCUAUCUGAAGCAAAUAGUGCAUGUUUUUCAGCACUGAAACUUUCUUGGUUAAUUGUUACAAUAUUGUUAUAUUUCCAAACUAAUGCUGUGCCUGCAGAUUUUUAGUUUUGCAAUAACCCAGUCAAGAUCAUCUUGAUUAGUUUUUGAAUGUAGGAUCUUUAUGUACUUGGCUGCUGUUGCUUUCAAAUUCUGUGUUCUCCAAUUAACUUUUUGUCCCUUUUGGCUGUGAACCACAGUUAAUCGAAACCUUGUUGGAACUGGGUUUAUGUCUGCUGACCAAAAGAAGAAGCUUUUAUGGGGCAACAAGAAAACCGCUGUUGCAGAUGAGGUACUUAUAGCUUAAUGACAGCUAAUUUUAUUUUCUAGCUUGCUGCUUAAGAGAGAGCAGAAGUUGAGAAUUGGAUGUUCUGUCAAUCUAUAUUUACCAUUUUCUAUGUACAUUAAAGAUGAUUUUUUCCUAUAUUUUGUUGAUGAAACUUUCAUUCUGCUUGGCAAUUGGAAUGAUUGUCUUGGUAUAUGCCUAUUGAAGUUUGCUUUAAGUAUUGACUAAACUUUAUUUCUUGUGCUAAUCUGGAUCCAUUGAUUUGCACAAUUCUGGUAUAAAAUUCCCAUGCUUGGAGCUUGCCAAAAUAUGUUGAAGAAAAAUAUGUUUCUGUUAUUGGAUACCACUUUCGCAUCCAUACUUUGAGCAUCAUCGGCGUGCACAUGUUAAGUAAAAUAUGUUACUGGUAUUUGGUAAUGCUUUUACAUCUAUACUUGUGCAUGAUCAGCAUGGAUUCCAAUUUGUUGGUUUUGAAACAUCAAAUUCUAGCUUUUCUUGAUUUGUUCUAAUAGUUCUUUUAUGCAUAUGCACAUCAAUUUUUAGUUUUUGGUGCUAAAUGUAGCAAUAAUUUUCUCAUGUUCUCUAGGGGUUCUAAAUUAUGGUACCUGAAUUUUUUUUUUUUCCCUCUUGACAUGACAUGACUUGGCCUUUGUCCCCCUCUCCCCUCUUCCCUCCCCCCCCCUCCCAAAAAAAAAUAAACCUUGUACAUGUUCUGGUUGAAUUUCGUAAACGCUUUUUGUUAUUUACCAUCUUUUUGCUGUUCUGUUUGUCCUCUCGAUGCUCAAACAUAGUCUGCUAACCACUGGGAUACAACAAUAUUUGGUGAUCGUGAGCGACAAGAAAAAUUUCAUAAGCUCAUGGUAAGUUCUGUUCCAUCUAUUUGUUCAACUGUUUUAGUAGUCAGGACGUAGAAGCUUAGGCUUCUGUUUUCAUGAACUAAGAUUAUGCUAAUUGGUAUUAUUUCCUGCAUACUAACACUCUUUUAGAGUCUGAGGUUGCAUUGGUACCUAUGGCCAAUUGUAGGGUGUGAAGGGCGAAAUGAAAGUGGACCACAAACCCGACGACGAAGUUGCAGAGAAGCAGAGGGAGCAGCUCCAGAUGGAUUUAGAGAAGCAAUAUACUGCUGGAUUACGUCGAAGGGAUGGUCGCACCGUUGGUCUAGGUCUUUAAAAACUCACUGGAUGCAUCUCCUUGUCUAUGAGAUAGUGUUUGGCCGUAUUUUGUUGUAUAAUCUUAGAAGUAUAAAGUUCAUCGAUAUUGCACUUGCAUGUAGAAUUCGUGAUCUAUGGUUGAAGUUACGUUUAUUGGACAUCCAAAUUUCCCAUCUAUGCCCUGGGUCUCCGUCAUUCAUUGGUAGCUCAACUGGUGCGUGGCUUGUUUAGUACUACUUAGUUUCUUUGACCGCCUAGUGUGAAAUGGGAAUCGGGGUUCUUAUUCGAGAAUUUUACUCUGUUUCAGAUGAAAAAUCCAAUCACUUGCUAUGGUGCUUCCCUCAGUUCUAAAUGGGGCUGAAGGAAUGGAUUUUAGCUAAUUCCCUCCGUGUACAAAUGUUUCAUUCUUUCUCUUUGGGAUGGAGAUGUGAAGUGGGGGGUUUUUUAGGGGUGGAGAAGGAAAAUGGUCUCAAAUCACCAUGAUGCAGAAAUCAGACAAUAGCAGUUUCUAUACCUUUUUUUUCCUUUAAACUGACUUGUUACGAGGACUUGGGGUUAUGAAUUAUGGUCUACAGCGGACUAGUGAUUGUGUAGUGAAAUUGCAAAAUUUGUAUGGGGAAAAGGGCUAGUUUCUUCGUGUAUGAACUUAAAUUUUGUUCUAAGCUGAUUAGAACUCCAUUGAUCUACACAAUCUACAACGUGGGGAACGUAGUAAUUUUUUAAAACAUUUAAUUGGCCUGCACAAAACUAUAAAUCUAUGGAAUGAAAUAUUCAACACCAUACUUCAAAUUAAAGAAAAGGAAAAAAAAAAUCCUUUGCAAGGCUCCAAAACUGUAAGGAAGCUUAUAGCUGAGGCUGAACAGGACAAGAUCCAAAUGUGAUUCUGAUUAAGAAGUUUGUUGGAUUUAGGUCUGAACGGGACAACGACAUGAAUUUCAAUCUGAUGUCUAUAAAAGAGGGCAGGACAUCAGGUGGAGCCAUGGAGGGUGUGGCGUUUCAUAAAGAGCCGAAAUUUCUAGAUGUUCUCUUUAGAGUUUAAUACGUUCAAAUAAACAAUUAUGAAAAUUAGAUUACACGCCUCAAAAAAAAUUUUUUUUUUUUCAAAUUUGGAUCUCGAGUUCUUGUUUUGCCUCUAUAUCAAUCAACUUCAUGAUGAGACUGAAAGCUACUGUUCUUAUAUCUUUAUACCAUAAGCAGGAUUGGCAUCUCUUGCUCCAAAAAAGUGGACCACUAGCUUAAUUUCGUUAGCUGCCGUGAGUAAACAUAGCCUUUUCAUUUCUUUCAAGUUUCGUACAGUACAGGAGGUGAAACUUUUUUUUUUUUUUUUAUUAUUAUUCUAAAUGUAAUGUCCAUAUUUUUAAGUUCCAUUUUGGCACAUACUACAAGUCUGCUAUCAGCAAUUGAACAAAGGGUAAUGGAAGAAGGGAAAUAUUUCAGCAUAAUAUUUUCAUACGCUAACACACUGAUAGCGCGUAUACAUUAAUAGAUUUAAAUGUACGAAAUUUUAGACUCGAACGCAAAUUUUACGCAUAUAUCGUGUAUUUAUACUUUUAAGUGUAUACAGUAAUUAUCAUCAGUGAAGAACAGAAAUAUUUUGAUAGAACAAUAAUUCCUUGUGAUGCAAGAGAAUGUAUGGCCCAAGAAAUUUAGUACAUUCCAAAGCUAACAACCAACACCCUUUUGCAGUUAGCACCAUAUCUUUAAUACAGUCCUUGGUUUCUGCAUACAAAUUACAAAGGGUGGUGAUGUGAAGCUAGUUAGUCCAAGGGUAUUCUAAUGUUUCAAAUAUUCAAUUGAUUGACUAUUCAAUUAUGUAAACAAUAACCACAGCCUCAUUUUUCAGCAUGCCAAAAAAAAAAAAAAAACUCGUAGAUUCUUCCUUUACUCUUUAUCUGAAUUUCCCCAUUAAAGAAAGAAAAGGCCAAAGGCUUUACUUAUCCUCGUGAACAGACAAUGUGGAAACAAAUAUUAUGCCUCUCAUCCAAAUGGAAUCAAAAGCCUUUUGAGACGUAAUUUUCCCUCCUUUAUUAUCUACACCUUACCUCAAAUUUGUCGAUUUCUUUUUUUUUACUGGUCCAUUUUCAUUCUUUAAUAGUUUUCAUGUCUGGAAAAAGUUGAUGCAAUUCAGUAAGGGGCCCUCUCUUCGCAGGUAUCUUUUGAUUUCUCAUGGUGGACUCCAAGUGUAUAAUUGGCAUUUGAAAAAAAUGCUUAUCUUGAGUCCAUAUCCAUACGAACCAUAUAUGAAAGGAUAAGCACCAAAGAUUUGGAGAAUAAUUGAUAUGAACAAUGGUUGAUUCGAAGGUACCUUUGAAAGAUCUUUCACCACAUUCUACCUGUAGAAAAAGCAUACAGAUGGAUCUGAAGAUUUGAUGACAAUUGUGUCAUCUAUAGGAUCAUUAAAUCCAUGUAAGGUAAAACUCAAUUGUUGUGGCAUUUCGUAUUGGCUUGCCGAGGAAUUCUGUUUCUCAUGUACACAAUUAAAUAGCCUGUUUGGAUUGUUAAUUUUAGAAGUUUUUGCAAAAAAAUGUACUGUACUGAUUUGAUGUAUAUGAGGCAAAGAAAUGAUUGAAAAAUGCGUUUACGAAAAACGUAAAAAUUUUUCUACAAAAAAUCACAAUCCAAAUAAGGAAUAGGUGUCUCAUGAAAUUUUAACUUUAUCACUUGCCUCGUAAAUUAUGUACACUUUAGCAUAAGAAAAUUUAAAUAACACCAAGCCCACCUUUUUAUAUGGUAUCCACUUCUUAUGUCUCAACAAUUUUUGGUCUAUUUUCAAUGCACACGUCUAAUGAGUUUGCAAUUAAAGGUUUAGGGUGGAUCGUCUGUUUCCAACAAAUUAUCAGGUCUUAAUAAUUUCUAUAUUAUCUACGAAAACCAUAGUUCGUGGAUUGGACAUAAAAGUAUGAUUAGUGUGGCACAGUUUUAGGAGGACAAUGGUAAAAAAUUUAGGAAUCUUCUAAACUAUUUUAAUCAUCCACUUUUGAUCUCUCAUUUAUUUCAAGUUUUAUUAAAAAUAAAAAGUGUCAAAUUUUAAUCCUUCAAUUAAAUCUUACCAUUAAAUCCAUCAAAUUUUACCUUUAAAUCCAUCAACGUCAAUGGUAGAGAUGAAUGGAAGGAUUAAAAUUUGACACUUUCCACGUUGAGAGGCUAAUUUAAGACUUAAAAUAGAUUAAUUAGGAACCAAAUGUUAAUGACUAAGAUAGCUUAGGACUCCUUACCCUAAGGGCAAACUGCCUAUAGAUUAUAGCCCAAUAUUUGUCAGAUAAGUUCAAUCUAGUGGUAGAGAAAAACCAAAUUGAGGUAGGAGGAAAGGAAAUGACACUACUUGGCAUUUUCACUGCAUUCUCUGUCUCACAAUUUGUACUUUUCGGACCAAGCAAAAUAUGGUUCAAAAUAUAUUUUGUUUUUAGACACUCUAAGAGUUGUUAAUUGGGGAAUACAGAAAAAGAAAGCUAUCCUUCAAAUAGUCUUGGGAUGUAAAAUUGCAAAAGUACCUUCUAAUGUCUUGCAAAUCUUAAAACACCCCACUUUGUUAAAUGCAAAAGCGUUCUAUGGUCAAAAGCACAAAUCGAACGGAAGUAAUUCGAGUGGCUUUUUGAGUCGAGUUUGAACUCUGUAAUAUUUUGCUCAAAUACUUAUUGAGUUUUUAUGAGUUUUAAAUAUAUACUCGUCUUUUUAUAUAACUAAUUGAAAUAUAUAAUUUUAUAUUUCAAAUUCGAGAUUGAAUUUCAUGCAUUUUGGGCGAACUCAAGACCAACUUGAAUAACCGGUUUAUUAUCUCGAGUCAAUUUUGAACAUGUAUUUUGAUAUUCGAACAACUUCGAGAUCGACUUUGAAUUCACUAAAGUUAAAGCAAAGUCAAGCCAUAAUUUUAUAGAGUAGAAUGCUUCCCCUUUUUUGGGCCUUGGGAACAAGUCAGAAAAAGUAAUUAGUCAUUCUUCACUAUAAAAGUACCCAUCUCUUCUUUAUAGUUUAUAGUGGUGACAUGUUUAUACCAUAACAACAAAAGCCAAAAUGAUUUUGAUUGAUUGUCAAAGCGUCCAAUAGGUGGGUGGUUAAACCAAUUUAAUUGUACCUGUUCUGGAAGCAACCUUUUUUGGCAGACAUUUAUGAUUUAUUACUUUAGGUGACAAGACAUUAAAUUAACCUCUAGUGAAUUAAUUGUACAUGAAUUGGAGCUCAAAUAUGGGCGCCACAUGGCCUGGAGGCACUGGACCAUGUGUGACAUGAUACAUGGACCAAGUUCUUUUCAUCCUUUUUUUUAAAAAAAAAAAAAAUUCCUUUUGUUAGGAAUGAAUUUAUUCAUGAAAUGAAUUCUGAUUUAUCUUGUAAAAAAUUAUUUUUGGAAAACAUAAAAAAAGUGAUAUAUCAUGGGUGCAUUUCCUAAUGGGAGACCAAAAAAAAAAAAAAAAAGCUUGUGAUCUUGGCGGUGGAUUCUUUUAUUUAAUUUCUAGUUUGACUAAAUGUGACAGAUUUGUUGCAUAACCAAAGGGACAAAUAAUACCCUUUUACUACCACAAAGAAUAGCGGAGAAAUUAACUCAUAUCGAGGUGCAUUGUACAUUGUAACUAUCAAUUAUUUCACUAGGUAAAGGUGGAGUCCACGGAGCCCUUCUUGUGCUCCACAAUCAAUAUGAUGCUAAAGAAGUGAUGCAACCUAUGAAAAGUUCAAAAGCUAAAGAAGUGAUGCAACCUAUGAAAAGUUCAAAAACACAAAAAUAAAAAACCCACAUUCACCCUGUUCUUGUCCAAUCUUCUUAGUUCUUAGUUAUUGUUCCCAAGAAAACCAAGAAAAGAAAAAAAACCCUCUUAGACGUUUUUCUUCUUCUUCUUCUUUACUAAUCAACAUAGAGAAUUUUCUAUGGCCUAUAAGGAUUGUUUUUAAUCCAACUGCAUUUUAAUAUCUCCAAACUGAAUAAGGGAUUGUAUAGUUUUUUUCUUUUUUCGAAAUCCUAUUCUAUUACAAUGAGGAAUUUUGGAAAAGGAGAUGAUGAGGGGAGCGGGGAUGCCUCCUGCUGCUGUUCCUGUGGGGUGCCUGCCUGCUUGCUGCUGCUGUUCCUUGGCGAAAUUGAUGUUAGCAGGGUUGUAUAUUUGCUAUGCUAUACUAUAUAUUCCCAAUUACUCGGCAUGAUAUAACCAUAAACCAACCACCUCUUUUCCGCUUUUUUUUUUUUUUUUUUUUUUGUAGUUUUUCCCAACAAAUUCACUUUCAAUCUGGUGUAUGGUUUCCUGUGGCCUCGAGGCCAUAAAAAAAUUCAUUCCAAUUGGUUUUUAAUGUGGUCCUUAGAAGUCUUUGCUCUACGUAUUUUGUCUGGUAGAAUUUAGGCAUGUAUCUGGUGGCCUUCCUUGGUCUCUUGACUGAGUUGUGAUGGGCAAUGACCUCAACUUGUUGAGCUGUGCACCAACUUUAAUUUCCCACACAACUGAGACAUCAGCAUCUCUGCAAGAUGUUUGACAUGGGCAAAGGCAUGGACCAGGACAAAUGAUACAGUCAAUAGUCCAAAUUUUAUUUCCACAGUAAUUUUUGUUGAAAUUCAAAAACUUUUCCUUUUAAAAUUUAAAUUGCAAAUGGACUUAAGUGAGACAAGUUCAAUAUUUUAUAUAGAAAUUUCUGUGAAAACGAAAUCUUGAUGAUAGCAUAAAAAAUAGCCAUACACCGAUCUUGUCUUGAAUUGACAGGUGCCGAGCAUGUGGAAUAAUAAUAAUAAAACCUAAUUACCACCAAAAGCAAUCAAUAAUCAAUUCUAGGUACUGGAGUAGGAACUUUAGAUGUACAAUGGAUUACUUGAUUCACCCUGUUUCCAAAGAGUUUGCUUAAUCCGAUAUACCAGAAUUAAUUAACUGACAAAAAAUUUACUAACUAGUAGACAGUGACAAGCAGGGUCGUCUCCUCAGGGAUUGAGAAAAAGUUCGUUUCCUUUCGAGUCAAAACAAACAGGGGGAUUUAGGAUUCAAUGCUAAUGAAUUGCUAACUAAAUAAAUUAAAUGCAAAAAAAAUAAUUAAUUGAAAGAAAUAAUUGGGGCACUCUAACGAAGGAUACACUUCAAAGAUGGUUCAUGCAACUGACCAUCGAUUCACAUAUAAUUCCAAUAUUUAUAAUAGGGUGAUUAUAGCUGUCAUACACGCGAUAAACAACCAGUUUUUCUUUACUUUUUCGAUAGUCAAGGUACAACCGUUAAUUAUUUCUCUAGCCAAGAAAUAACCCUAGGUACGACCGUAAGAUUUAAUUUCUAGAUUGCAUUAAGAAUUAGAAAAGUCCAACCCUAACUAACAAACACACUAUGAGGGUUUGUUUAAAUUAGAUCGUAUGUUUUCCUGACAUAAAUCCAAUUAUGCCAGUUGCUACCGGGACGGAAGUAAUCGAACAAUUACGGAUUCAACUACCCCCAAUUAGCAAGUAGCCUACGUGAAUAAUUAAAUAUUGCGCACCUACUCAAUGAUACAUGAUAGUUGUAGUAAUUAAAAGUAGAAAACAACAAAUAUCAAUAAAUGGAGGAAACAGUUAAAAUAAUUUAGAUUUAACAGUUAUUAUUGAACCAAAUCUUCAGUUGUCCCGUUGACUAGAAGUAUAAAAUUAGUUCUCUAUUAACGGAGAACCAGUCAUGCAAAUAGUUGUUCCAAACUUUUCCAUCGUUUUUUCAUCCCAAAAGUCGGCUAAGGAGAAAAAAUAAAGACCAAGUCCAAUGCCCUCACGCCUCUAGCCACACAAAAGAUAGGAACAAAUUGUUUCAUGAUUUCUUUCCUACUUUGACUGCUAAUUGGUUAGUACUCUAAUACCAAUCAACUUCUUAGAAUAAAACCCUAUUACAAGUCAACUUUCUCAGCUUUCCUUUUUCUUGGGAGUGGCUCACUAGCUUUCUAAUUUGUAGCCAACUACUUGAUGCAUUUUUGGAAUUGGAAGCUUCUCACGUGCACUAAAUUUCGAGAAUCUAGACUUGAAUGUGCCACCACCAAAUUAGCUGGAAAUUGCCCCUUUUAAUCAUAUUUUGAUUAUUUUCCUACAAUUAGCACCAUUAACCAAAUAUAAGUAGAAUCCAUCAAUUAAUACAAUAUUUGCUAAAAUAAAAGGAAAAAUAAACAUAAAUCGGAUGACAAUUUCACAUCCUAUCAAUUUUCCCCACACCUAAACUAUGCUUGUCCUCAAGCAUGAGAACAACAAAUCAAGCAAUCAAAUUCAAACAAUGGUUAUUAUUUAAAUUUUCUAUUACCAAGAUACAAUUAAAACAUAUGUCAAGUAUUAGUGGCAAUUUUCAAGAAAUAUCUCUCUAGUUAGCUUUCAAGAUCAAGAACUCUUUCAAUUUAUGACUAACUAAUCUAAGAAUAUAAAAUAUUCAACCAGCAUCCAUAAGCAAAUGGUUCGACUAUUAAGCAAAAUCUCAAUAUUAAAAUUCAUGGAUUAGCGGGCUAACAAUUCAUUCAAACACUUCUACAUUUUUCACUAUUAACGCAUUUUUUUUUCUAAAAUAUCCCCACACUUGAUUGAUUUUUUUUUUCAGGGGGAAUGCUUAGUCUUUAACCAUUUAUGCGUUUUGAAGCAAACUCUGACAUUAGCCAAAUGAAGGAACCCGGUUACUCAGCCAUCAUCGCUUAAAAACCACAUACUCAUAGCUAUCGUCGCUUUUUUAUGCGAAAAUGGACACUUGUGGUGAAGACCUCUGGUUACUAGUCUACGAUACUAACGGAGUAUAGCCGAAUACUAUUCAUAAAUAACAUCGAAUAAAAUUAACAGUUACACACACCCGCUUCAUUUCUUAAAUAUGAAAAGUUAAGAUUAAUAGUUGAACCAAUUUGCACAAAAAAAUGCUAGACAAAUAUUUACAAUAUUUAGAGAAAUUAACCAAAGAUUGUAAAAAAUCACAAAAUCUCAAAUAUUCACAAAAAAUAUACUCUUAAAUUUAACCAUGUCAUACUUAACACCUUAGAGUGUAAAAUCUUACCAAUAGAAAAUUUUGAGAUAUCUAUCCAUCGUUUAUUAGGAAUAAUCACAAAUAUGCACAAAGAUAGGUAAAUUUUGGAUAAAAUUCGAUAAAGUCAAAUAAAAAAUUCCAACAAAAAUGUCUACACUUGCACUUUUUCAAUAUAUUAUCAAUAUACUAGUUCCCCUACACCUAAAUCUUACAUUGUCCCCAAUGUAAAAUAAAGAAUAAAAGAAAAGUAAUGGGGAUAAUGAAACUUCCCUGAUAAUUGAGGAGGCCGUGGAUAGCUACAGGUGAGGGGCAAUUGAUUGUGAAACUCGACAUAUGUUGAUGGCUGGCGGUGGUGAAGUUCGGAUGGAAGAAAGAAAGAAAGAAGAAAGAAAAAUAAUAGAGAAAGAAAGAAAGAAAAAGAAAGAAGAAAAUUUUUUUUUUUUACCACUACGUUAGACGUGGGCAUGCCUAACUGUCCUUGAGUUUUCUGACCAACGCACGGAAAUUAAGAUCCUUAAGCGUGACUACCUGACGCAUGCACGCCUAACUAUCAGAGAGUCUUCUGAUCAAUUUUCAGAAAUUGAGUUCUUUAAGCGUGACCACCUGGCGUGGGCACGCCUAACUCAUGGAGAGUUUUCUGCCCGCGAAAGUGAAUUGCCUUCUUUAAGCGUGACCACUUGGCGUGAGCACGUCUAACUGCCAACUUCCUGCCACAAAAAUAACAAAUCACUAAAUGCAACUAACACUUAACAAAAACUCCAGAAACAUAAGAAAACUAAAACAAAUAGCUUUGGGUUGCCUCCCAAGCAGCGUCUUUCUUUAAUGUUUUUGGUUAGACAUUUUCAUAUUUAUUUACGGAGGAUAAAAUCUUGUGGCUCGUUUCAAUGAUUCAUCCUCUGUAUAAUCCUGAUAGCCCUCGUAAAUAGAGUAAUCCUUGAGCAUACGAGUUACGAUCUUUCAUAGACUAGUAGAUGGCGCCAAAUAAGUCAACCAUAAUUUGAAUUCUCCACUCACUCUUCCAUCACGCGCAUUUACGGGUUCAAGAUAUUUUGCCAUCGACACUCUUAACUUAUUCAUGUCAUGAAAUUCAAAAUUUUCUAGUAUAAUAAAGUCAAUCUCACUAACAAAAAUUGAAGAACAAAAGUUAAGAGAAUAUUGAUUAAGGAAUGGAGGAGAUGUCACCGUAUUUGGAGAUUGUUCACUGGAUUCAUCCACUUGAAUAAUUUGAUAUUGGGGUUCCAUUUCUUGUACUUCAAUUUCCUUUUCAACUGCAUCUUUAGAUUCUUCUUUUUGAGACUCUUGCAGUUUCAUGUCACUUGUCAGGAUAAUUAUAUUCUCAUCUUCUUUAAAAUCGAUAUUGGUCUGUGAGGGCAAUUCUUCAUAAAUUGGAGAAAUCAAUUUGCUCAUUGUAGAUGCCAAUUCACGCCUUUCAUCUUCCAUCUCUUUAAUCAACCUUUGUGUUUCCUGUUGAAAUUGAUGUGUGUCAGCAGCUACUAAUUUUACCAUUUCUCCAAGAGACAUACAUGACAUGGAUGAUGGCUGUUGCUGGUGAUAUUGAUGUUGAAAACCUGUUGACCCUUUUGCACAAUUCGAGUUGGAAUUAUUCCACCAUUCUUGAUCAUACCCAUUUGAAUAACGGUCAUACCAUGUUUGAGAUUGGGUUGAAAAACCUCCAAACUUAUUCAUGUAGGUAUUCAGGUAAUCUUGAUAUUCAAAACACAUACCGGUUGAAUGAUCCGUGGCAUAACAAAUUCCACAGGUUGCAGCAGCCAUUUUUUCUAUAAAAAAACUCAGUGAAUCUGAAUAUUGAUUAUCAGAAAAAGCACAAGUCUCAUUUCCUUUUAUACGACUAAAAUCCAAUCUAUCACAAAAAUACGGAAUGUUAGCGGCCAUUAAAAAAAGAAAAAUAAAAAAAAUAAAAACAAGAUGAACUAAAAAAGAACCAAAUUAAUCAGGCACCAGUCCUUGACAACGGCGCUAAAAAUUGACAGGUGCCGAACCUGUGCAAUAAUAAUAAUAAAACCUACUUACCACCAAAACAGUUAAUAAUCAAUUCCAGGUACUGCAGCAUGGAUUCUAGAUGUGCAAUGGGUUACUUGGUUCACCUUGUUUCCGAAAAGUUUACUUAAUCCGAUAUACCAAAAUUAAUUAACUGACAAAAUUUACUAACUAGUAGACAGUGGCAAGCAGGGUCGUUUCCUCAGGGAUUGGGAAAAAGUUCGUUUCCUUUCGAGUCAAGACAAACUGGGGGAUUUAGGAUUCAAUGCUAAUGAAUUGAUAACUAAAUAAAUUAAAUGUGAAAAAAUAAUUAAUUGAAAGAAAUAAUUGGGGCACUCUAACCAAGGGUACACUUCAGAGAUGGUUUAUGCAAUUGAUCAUCGAUUCACAUAUAAUUCUAACAUUUAUUAAUAGAGUGAUUAUAGCUGUCAUACAUGCGAUAAACAACCAACUUUUUCUUAUUUUUUUGAUAGUCAAAGGACGACCGUUAACUAUUUCUCUAACCAAGAAAUAACCCUAAGUACGACCGUAUGAUUUAAUUUCUAGAUUGCAUUAAGAAUUAGAAAAGUCCAACCCUAACUAACAAACACGCUAUGAGGAUUUGUUUAAAUUAGAUCGUAUGUUUUCCUGACAUAAACCCAAUUAUGCCAGUUGCUAUCGGGACGGAAGUAAUCGAACAAUUACGGAUUCAACUACCUCAAUUAGCAAGUAGCCUACGUGAAUAAUUAAAUAUUGCACACCUACUCAAUGAUACACGAUUGCUAUAGUAAUUAAAAGUAGAAAACAUACAAAUAUCAAUAAAUGGAGGAAACAGUUAAAAUAAUUUAGAUCUCAUAGUUAUUGUUGAACCAAAUAUUCAGUUGUCCCCUUGACUAGAAGUAUGAAAUUAGUUCUCCAUUAAUGGAGAACCAGCCAUGCAAAUAGUUGUUCCAAACUUUUUCAUCGUUUUUUCCUCCCAAAAGUCGGCUAAGGAGAAAAAAUAAAGACCAAGUCCAAUGCCCUCACGCCUCUAGCCACACAAAAGAUGGGAACAAAUUGUUUCACGAUUUCUUUCCUACUUUGACUCCUAAUUGGUUGGUACUCUAAUACCAAUCAACUUCUUAGAAUAAAGCCCUAUUACAAGUCAACUUUCUCAACUUUCGUUUUUCUUGGGAGUGGCCCACUAGCUUCCUAAUUUGUAGCCAAUUACUUGAUGCAUUUUUGGAAUUGAAAGCUUCUCACGUGCACUAAAUUUCGAGAAUCUGGACUUGAACGUGCCACCACCAAGUUAUCUGGAAAUUGCCCCUUUUAAUCAUAUUUUGAUUAUUUUCCUACAAUUAGCACCAUUAACCAAGGGACGACUGUUAACUAUUUGUCUAACCAAGAAAUAACCCUAAGUACGACCGUAGGAUUUAAUUUCUAGAUUGCAUUAAGAAUUAGAAAAGUCCAACCCUAACUAACAAACACGCUAUGAGGAUUUGUUUAAAUUAGAUCGUAUGUUUUCCUAACAUAAACCCAAUUAUACCAGUUGCUACCGGGACGGAAGUAAUCGAACAAUUACGGAUUCAACUACUCAAAUUAGCAAGUAGCCUACGUGAAUAAUUAAAUAUUGCGCACCUACUCAAUGAUACACGAUAGCUAUAGUAAUUAAAAGUAGAAAACAUACAAAUAUCAAUAAAUGGAGGAAACAGUUAAAAUAAUUUAGAUCUCACAGUUAUUGUUGAACCAAAUCUUCAGUUGUCCCCUUGACUAGAAGUAUGAAAUUAGUUCUCCAUUAAUAGAGAACCAGCCAUGCAAAUAGUUGUUCCAAACUUUUCCAUCGUUUUUUCAUCCCAAAAGUCGGCUAAGGAGAAAAAAUAAAGACCAAGUCCAAUGCCCUCACGCCUCUAGCCACACAAAAGAUGGGAACAAAUUGUUUUACGAUUUCUUUUCUACUUUGACUCCUAAUUGAUUGGUACUCUAAUACCAAUCAACUUCUUAGAAUAAAACCCUAUUACAAGUCAACUUUCUCAGCUUUCGUUUUUCUUGGGAGUGGCCCACUAGCUUCCUAAUUUGUAGCUAAUUACUUGAUGCAUUUUUGGAAUUGGAAGUUUCUCACGUGCACUAAAUUUCGAGAAUCUGGACUUGAAUGUGCCACCACCAAAUUAUUUGGAAAUUGCCCCUUUUAAUCAUAUUUUGAUUAUUUUCCUACAAUUAGCACCAUUAACCAAAUAUAAGUAGAAUCCAUCAAUUAAUACAAUAUUUGGCUAAAAUAAAAGGAAAAAUAAACAUAAAUUGGAUGACAAUUUCACAUCCUAUCAUGAAUCAAGUGUUUCUACAAUCACCGGUCCCAAUUAUAUGGAACAGUGUAGACAAUAACACAGCAGAUAUAGAUAUUAGUACAAUAAAUAUAGAUACUGAGACAAUAACAUGCAAAAAGGCAACAAAUUAUGAUAUCUCUAUAGAAAUUACGUCCUCAAAUCAAUCUCAACCACCCAAAUAAGGUUAACCCUUACUCACCAUUAUCUGCACCAUGUAGUCAAACCUGCAAUUGUAGAAGCCCAUUCCGUCUUGUAGCAGUUAAAUCUCAUACGCCAGUAGUGCCUCCCUACUGUAAAAUGAAGUCGUAGUUGUACCAUAUUUCAUAAUCAUGAAUACAAAUCCGUUUCAUCUAUACAGUAUUGUAAAUACUCCAUUUACCAAAGUUUUUAUACACAAAAUUUCAAGAGAAAUUCUCAAUUUUGUCCAUUCCAAUUGUCAAAAACCCAUUCAUAGGCACUUUUUUUUUACUCCAAACAAAGCCAAAACAUUUUGUUACCCCACCUCUCCAAUCAUCCUCAAUUUUGGCUUCCCACUAGAUAAUUUAGUGUUGCCCUUUUGACCUUUUUGUGGCCCUAUAACUAUGGAUUCUCAGGAAAUGGCCCUUUAACUUAUACUCCAUGAUAGAGGUCUAUUUUGUUGUUAAGGUAAACAAAUAUCAGCAAAUUGUCAUUACCAAAGUCGCUAACCUUAGAAUCUUGGAACCACACAAAAAAUCUAAUGUAACAUCUUUAGACAGAUUUUAUUCUUCUUUAAUGAACCUCAAAUCUUCUACCAUGUUCCUUAAAAAUAAUAAUAAAAAAAAUCCUCUACCAUGUUGAAACUGGCACUUGUCCUUCAACUAGUGGCCGAGCAAUUGAUUCUCCCCAAUAGAAGUGGACUCCAAAUUUUUGUGUACUAAGAUGCCUAAAUAUUAAAGAAACUGCCUCGUAGCCUUAAGGUCUCUUUCCACCAUCUGCAGGGCGUUGUAACUGCCAACCAUCAAAGCUUUGUCGGCUGUGAUACCAAUUUUCUUGUAGUACUCGUUAAAUAACGUACUAUUUCACUUGGCAACUCCGAAAAUUUCGUAAAUUCAUGGAACUUGACUUUAUAUAGACGAGAUAUCCAGACUACUUUGUCCCAUAGACUAGCUGGUUUUCUACUUUCUUGAUACUAUAUAAGGACCAUAAUCUAGCUGAUAUCAGCCUUAAAAAGUAGUAGUUUAGUUGUGUUUGGCAUUUGGUUUAGCUAACACUUUAUCUUUAUUGAGCUGAAGCUUGGAUUAGAAACCCAAGUAAAAUUUCUAACAUCUUUGGCAGAAUGUUGCUUUUCUUGAUUUCUUGCUUCUCUGUUAUCCUAGUUUCCAAGUCAUUUUUUAGGCCAUUUGGGACUUGGAAGAGGGACAUGAGAAUGCAGGCGAUUCCUUGGUUUUCGGGGGAAGUGUCGAGAUUUUUGAUAUCUUGGUCUGCAAGAAGUAAGGCUGCCAGAGGUUUCUUGCAUUUUCUGACAUCAUCACUGAAGAAGAACGGUAAUGGAAAAGCAGAGAAUGUGAUGGUGGAGGGCCUGGAGGGAGAGGAAUAUACUUUACUGGAUUUGCCAGAUUUGGCUUUGGAAUGCAUUCUUGAGAGGCUUUCUCCAUUUCAGCUCUGUAGUAUGGCUGCAGUUUGCAGGUCUUUGAGUGAGAGGUGCAGCAGUGAUCAUUUAUGGGAGAAACACAUGAAGCAGAAAUGGGGUAGAUUGGUUGGUAAUGCAGCAUAUCAACAAUGGCAAUGCUACAUUGCUUCAAGAAACAGAGCUAAGCUACAGGAGAGUAAAAGGGGAAAAGGAUUACUUGGGUACUUUUCAAUCUUCUCUGAUAAGAUGUGGAAUAGAUCAAGAGAAAAUGAGAUUGUUACUGAGCAGAGAAAUUCCUUACCUGUAGAUUCUGUAAAGGCUUGGUAUCUUGCUAUUGAAACCGGGAAAUUCCGGUUUCCAGCCCAGGUUUAUAACCGCGAGGUAUUUCACUGAAGUUGCCAAAUUUUGAUUCUUCUUUUAUUUUUUCCCCCUUUGGUUGGAUUACAAGUACAAAAGACCUUUAGUUUCCAGACUACCAAUUUUGGUUGGAUUAACGUGUGGAAUUUUACCUGUAGAAUGGCCAAGUUGGGUUUAUGCUCUCUUGUUAUGAUGCUGAAUUGAGCUAUGAUUCAAGCACAGACACCUUUAUUGCAAGGUAAAUGAUUUCUGCAAUCUCUUUUUGCACAUUACAUAUCCCAAGGCUACACAAGGGAUGCUGAUCAUUAUUAGUUGGGUAACUUUCUUGAGUAAAACUCUUGGAAAGCAUUUAGUUCCGUUUGCAACAGUGAUUUGAGACAUAUUUUGGAGUUGGUUGUAUGAAAUACUAAUUUAGGUAUUAUUGCAGGUACUCAGCACCUGGGCGAAGGCCGACAAUAGAGGACAACAUAGAGUGGAAUAGGAUAAGGGCACCAGCAGUUGAUGUCCCUGCACAUGUCCUUCAUGUCUCAGAUUGUCUGCAUGAUCUGAAACCUGGUGAUCACAUAGAGGUUCAGUGGAGAAGGAACAGAGAUUUCCCAUAUGGUAUGUUUCUUGUCCCCUAGUGUAUCCCCUUUGAUGUAUCUCCCUUGACCCUUCUGUUUUACUGGAUUUUCAUUUUUGCCACUUUAUCAGCAUCAGAUUUGGUUCAUUUUUUGAAUUAUCUUUUGAUUGAGGCACUUCUGAUUUCUGGUUUCAAUAAAUUUCAGGUUGGUGGUAUGGAGUUGUUGGACACUUGGAGUCAUGCACAGGCCAGGAAUCUCAUUGCCAGUGUCAUCUAAAUGGUAUGUCAAUUGGAUUCUUUUGUUUUAUGGGCAUAAUUAAGUUUUGCACUUGAUCUUGUGGAUGGCUAGACAAUCAGGGCAAUGACUGUUUAUUUCUCAAGCCUUUGCAUAUCUUCUUUAACGUUUGCUCUGAUUUGACAAUUGAAAAACUGCACUUGACUAGAUUUUUGAUACUGUAUGAGCCAAUUAACACCUUUUAGCAUUCUUAGCAUUUUUUUCCCACUUCUUUGCCAUUGUUGAGAAAUUAUCUCAGCAUCAUCUUAGCAUUUUUUUCCCACUUCUUACCUAGACUUUUGAUACUGUAUGAGCCAAUCAACACCUUUUAGCAUUCUUAGCAUUUUUUUCCCACUUAUUUGCCAUUGUUGAGAAAUUAUCUCAGCAUCAUCUUAGAUGCCAAAUAUUCUAUGACAACAAAUCAGGGUAAAAAUCAGUUCUUACCCGGGAGACUAAAGCAGUCAUUGACUGGGAUGAUUAAUAAACCUUACUCAGUUGUUUUAUUCAUCUGUUGGUGCUCAAGCGGUAUGUUUCUCCGGCUGUUAUGGCUAAAAUUUGACCUGGGCAACCUUAGACAACUUUCCAUAGCCUUUUUCACUUCGGCAGAACAGACUGAUACUGAAGCUAAAUCCUCAAAACAAAUGUAUGUGCCUGCAAUGCAUUUCAUGGAUGUGUGGCUGGCAUCAGUAUAAUCUGAAUCUAAUGAUGAAUUGAUGGUCCAAAAACAUCUUUUACUUUUAUGAACUUGCAAAAUUACAGAAAUUAUCUGCCAAGUUACAGUUGUGUCACACUAUAUACUGCAACUAUAUAGCUUGUUUAGGUUGUUAACUUGUAUUGUCUGUCAGUAACAAAUUUGGAGUAAAGAUAGAAGAAGGCUUUGAAAGAAAUGCCUCGAAAUUUGAACUUCUUACGGUGACAAAUGAAUGUUUUUUCCUCUAUUCAUCACACUCUUAUGCUUGAAAACAUAAGAAUAAACUGGUUAUCUAAAACCAAAAGUAGUGCUGCAUAGUUUCAAAACUCAAGCAUGCCUUCGCCUGAACAAUCCUAGGACAUU